GAGUUUGAUCCUGGCUCAGGACGAACGCUGGCGGCGUGCCUAAUACAUGCAAGUGGAACGCACGAGGUACACCGUAGUUUACUACACCGUACUUUGUGAGUCGCGAACGGGCGAGUAACGCGUAGGUAACCUACCUUUUAGCGGGGGAUAACUAUUGGAAACGAUAGCUAAUACCGCAUAAGAUAUCUUACUGCAUGGUAAGAUAUUAAAAGAUGCAAUUGCAUCACUAAGAGAUGGACCUGCGUUGUAUUAGCUAGUAGGUGAGGUAACGGCUCACCUAGGCAACGAUACAUAGCCGACCUGAGAGGGUGAUCGGCCACACUGGGACUGAGACACGGCCCAGACUCCUACGGGAGGCAGCAGUAGGAAAUCUUCGGCAAUGGGGGGAACCCUGACCGAGCAAUGCCGCGUGAGUGAAGAAGGUUUUCGGAUCGUAAAGCUCUGUUGUAAGAGAAGAACGAGUGUGAGAGUGGAAAGUUCACACUGUGACGGUAACUUACCAGAAAGGGACGGCUAACUACGUGCCAGCAGCCGCGGUAAUACGUAGGUCCCGAGCGUUGUCCGGAUUUAUUGGGCGUAAAGCGAGCGCAGGCGGUUAGAUAAGUCUGAAGUUAAAGGCUGUGGCUUAACCAUAGUACGCUUUGGAAACUGUUUAACUUGAGUGCAGAAGGGGAGAGUGGAAUUCCAUGUGUAGCGGUGAAAUGCGUAGAUAUAUGGAGGAACACCGGUGGCGAAAGCGGCUCUCUGGUCUGUAACUGACGCUGAGGCUCGAAAGUGUGGGGAG
rnacentral:rRNA from 1 species